AUUGAAAUCGUUCAAAUUGACAGGUUGAUCGGAAUCAUCGGCGUUCUCAUAAUUAAAGAUCUUAAGAUAUUUUACGUUCUGGUAGAGUUUUAGAAGAAAGAAAUGAUGUAUUUUUCUUAUUCAUCCCACAUCAUUCUCGAACUUACGAAUCGUCGUAGAAUCAGCAAAAACUCAAAAUAUCAUUGCAAUCAUACGCAAAGCAAUAAAACAAUUGAGUUUUUCAAAUGAGAAACGUAGUGUAUUAGAGUCGGUGUCGUUCGUUAAGAAUAAUUUUUACGCGUCUUAUGAUUUUUGUAAAGUUUUAGAAAUAUGUAUAUUAAUAUAGACUGCGUACAAAGCAAUCAAAAAAUCAGUGUUUAUUCGUCCAAAGUUUAAUUUUCUUUUUUUUAACAAUUACACAGACUGAGUAUUGUAAAUGAAAAAUAAUAUUUCGCGAAUUAAAUUCAGUGUCGUCUCGUAAUUAAUAAAUAUUUAUUGUGUAUUUGAGUCAGUGCAUCAUCGAUUAUGAUAAUACAUUUUUCUACACGAGACUAUCGUCCUUUUUCAAGUCAUCAUUACAAGUCUAUAAUGAUUUCAACCAAGUUUGAAAUUGUCUUACCUCUAUUACAACCUACAAGGGAGGAGGAGUGUUUUGGAGCCAUCGCAGAACUUCACAAGUAUAUCCACGGUAACUCGAUUAGCGGCACGUUCCACGCGGGAUUCAACAAGUAUCGAAAUCCCGAAAUUCUAUUCGUUGCUCGUUCAUCGCCAGAAACUUCGGCUGGACCGAUCUAUGACGGUUAAUAUCGUACCAGUACGGAGAAAAGAGAAUAAGACAAGAAGAAGAAGAAGAAGAUGAUGAUGAUGAUGAUGAUGAUGAUAAUGAUGAAGAAGAAGAAGAAAAAGAAGAAGGAAAAGGGAGAAAAAGAAGAAGAGAAAAUAGAUGAGGAAUAUGAGAUCCCGACAUGGCCGUUUCGCUCGAUGGAAGCUCUGCUUAAAACCACGUUAAUCCGAUUAAUGUCUACCAGGAGUCAUACUAUUAAAGCCGAUCUCUGCAUGAUAAGAUAAAGCCAGUAUAUACGUGGUAUAUGUUUAUAUAUAUAUAUAUAUAUAUAUAUAUAUAUAUAUAUAUAUAUAUAUAUUACAUAUAAUAUAUUAUAUAUAUAUAAUAUAUUAUACAUAAUCUAUAUAUAUAUAUAUAUAUGGGCUUAAUGCUAUGGAAAUGUUUA